rnacentral:tRNA from 1 species
CCCUGUGUGGUGAAAAGGGUAAUGUGCUUGGCUGUGAACUUAAAGGUUGGUGGUUUGAAUCCAUCCAGAGGCA